CCUACGGGUGGCUGCAGUGGGGAAUAUUGCGCAAUGGGGGAAACCCUGACGCAGCAACGCCGCGUGAGUGAAGACGUAUCUCGGUAUGUAAAGCUCUAUCAGCGGGGAAGAAGGAAGACGGUACCCGACUAAGAAGCCCCGGCUAACUACGUGCCAGCAGCCGCGGUAAUACGUAGGGGGCGAGCGUUAUCCGGAUUUACUGGGUGUAAAGGGAGCGUAGACGGCGUCGCAAGUCUGACGUGAAAGCCCGUGGCUCAACCGCGGAACCGCUUUGGAAACUGCGAGGCUGGAGUGCUGGAGAGGUAAGCGGAAUUCCUGGUGUAGCGGUGAAAUGCGUAGAUAUUAGGAAGAACACCAGUGGCGAAGGCGGCUUUCUGGACUGAAACUGACGCUGAGGCACGAAAGCGUGGGGAGCGAAAGGGAUUAGAUACCCUUGUAGUC
rnacentral:rRNA from 1 species